rnacentral:rRNA from 1 species
AAAACAAGAGGUCUAGUAAGUAACGAGGUUGGGAAAGACCACCAAAAGAAGAUAAUAAGCCUAAAUGUUAAACGAAAAGACUUUAGGUAUGGUCACGAGAACCACGGAACACGUGAAACCCUGUGGGAAGCAGGAGGGACCACCCUCCAAGGCUAAAACUACCGAGGGAACGAUAGCGUAUAGAACCGUGCGGGAAAGGUGAAAAGAACCCCGGGAGGGGAGUGAAAUAGAUCCUGAGACCCUGCUCUUACAAGCUGUGGAAGAACAUUUCUUGGGGGAACGCGUACUUUUUGUAGAAGGGGCCAACGAGUUACGUUAAGUAGCAAGGUUAGGCACUUAAGGUGCGGAGCCGUAGCGAAAGCGAGUUUUAACUGAGCGUUCAGU